UUGGUGGUGCUUGGCUUUGCGGCUGAUUUAAUGAGAGUGGAAGGCUUUGUUGUUGUGAAUUUUUCCUCUAUUCAUCCAAAAGAGGAGGAAAGGGGAAAGAAAAAGAAAUAAGGUAGCUACUCUCAGCUGCUUUUCCUGGUGAAAAGGAAUGACAACUAAUACCUGAGGGCACUUCCUUAUCUCAAGCCUGUCAACACAGACAAGCCAUAUCAUUCUCCAGGAGCUUUACUCAAUGGGAAAAAGCCAUCCACCAAUGGGAGUAAGCCCUUUCUUGGAAACAGUGGCGCUCUAUCUCUGGCUGUGGCUUGGUAACCUUUAUCGUACGGUGUUUAUGGAAGAAUGGUUCCUCCCUCACUCUGCCAAAAUACUGAGACUUUCUUUCAUUUCCUGAUUUCAAAGCAAAGGCUGAGAUGUUCUCGGCUUAAAGGAAACAGGAUGAGGUGAGGAGGCAGGAAGCGAUGGACAAAGAUGAGAUUAUGGGGUGAGGAGAGAAGAUCAGGUUUGAGAUUCAAAGGAUGUGCUGACCGGAGGUGGAGAUGAAAAUGUGAGUGAGUUUGUGGGAAUAUUGCUCUCUUAGACAUCUUGCUCAUCCUUCAUAUUUGAGGAUCAAAACUUCAAUGAGGAUGCACUUUCAAAGCUCUGCUGGAAAGAUGCAAGAAAAUCAAACCACAGAAAGAGAAUUAAGAAAAGGAAAUGCUUGUAAAAGUUGAACGGACUCUUGCGUUUAUGAAUGUACUGGUAAGUAAAUAAGUCACUAAAAUGAACAAGGGGUAGAACGAGCAUACAUUGCUUUGCUGCAGAAUGCCAUCCAAAGCCAUCAAAACCACAUCUUACAUGAACUGACUAAAACCCCUUUCAUCUAAGCUGGUUUUAAGCUUUGAAAUCUUACCCGAAAAGGUUUGGUUUUAUUGACAUUCACCUUGGAAAACUCAAACAGAAGCACAAGGAGCCACUUGACUUUAACAUUGUCCUGCAGAACAUAAUACAAACUCCAGGCAUCAACUAAAGUCUAAGCAUCCGCCGCACCAUAAAUAAUAAAACAUAAAAAGUAAAAAAUUAAAAUCACCCACACAAGCAAGGCUUUCCAUAAAAGCAGGUUUUAAGAAGUGUAUAAAGAAAGUACUAAUUAAACAAACCUCAUGUCCUCA